rnacentral:lncRNA from 1 species
UGUUUGUAGAAAAUUUAUUAGUGAUUUACAAAAAUAUAUGAUUUAGUGAAUAAAUAAUCAUGUAAAUACAAGUUGCAUAAUUCAGUAAAUAGUACAUGAUAAACAGUUUUUAAUGUAAAAAUAGUUUUUAAACUCUGGUUAACAAAAGUGAUAUAAAAUGCAAUUUACUGAAGUAUAAUAUUUUAAAUUCUCUCAGUAAAAACAUAUUCGGUUUCAUUGAUAAAAAAAGGGUGAGACAUAAGUGCAGCUAUGAAGACACUAUAAACUCACUUAAAAAUAAAACAUCACCCAUGGUCUGAAUCUCUUCAUAUCAAAAACAUUUUUUGCCAUUUUUUUCAAAUAUAAUAUUUGUUUCCAAAAUAUAAAAAAUCUUUGGCUUUGAAGCUAUUAUUUGUGACUAUAGGAUGUAAAAGCUUUUCGAAUGCAAGAAAACUGGAAUAUUCAAUCUUAACUUAUUUAAGAGAUUCAGUGAAUAAAGUAUAUAUCAAAUGAUGAAAGUUAAAAACAAAACAACAUAUGAUUUAUCAAGAAAACAAUGAGUUUGACCACAAUGAAUAUGCUGUCAUAAAAUAUGAAAAUAAGAUCAGAAUAAUUUUGUAUUCAGAAUUCAGAAAUUAUAGCAUGCAUUUAUUAUUGCAAUUUUUUAAGAAUGGACACCAAUGUGAUAUUAAUUAUUAUAAUUUCAGAAAAAUCUGCAUCAGAUAUCAGAAUUUAAGUUCUUAUAAUUGUGUCACCCAGUCACAUUAGUUUAUUCACAUUUAUAGUAAAAACCUCACAAUAAUUUUGGAAUUUACAGUAUUCAGUUUUGAAAUCAUAAUGUUCAGGACAGGCACAAUUUUUUUUUUAUCAAUAGCAGUAAUUGUAACAACAUUCUUCAAAAACUAAACUCUGACAUGUUGUUUACCUAAAUCACUCUGAUGCAUAUGCAAGAUGUAAUCACUGCAUUUAUCUUUUAUCUUAAAUCUACCACAUUAAAAAUAAAAAUAUUGGAAUUGUUGACUGACAGAAAAAGAACACAUCUGAAAAAAGCAAAUGCAAAUAUAUUUAUCAAGAAAAGUCCUAUUGAGCAUUUGAAAACUACAACCUGUCAACAGAAAACAUAUUCAUGUGUGAAAGCCUUUAAAAGGGGUUAUUUAAGCUGAUGGAAGAACAUUGUUGCUUGAGACAGAAAAAUUAAUGGGACUUUUUAUUUAUAUCAUACAAAUACAUCUUUUAAAAAAAAAACUUAAAAAAAAACAGCAUUUUGAUAGAUUAUGAGGCAUGUUGUACAUGUAUGAUGAUACAUAAAGAUAUUCACUUGCAAAAUUAUUCAAUUUCUAACUGUUAGUGAAAAAUUUUAUGAUUUUCAGAGAAAAUAUUUCUUGAACAUAACAAAUAAUUCAUAGUGUUAUAUUAUAAUGGAUUUUUAUUGAUCCAAUUUACAAAUAAACUCAUUCUUCCCGUUAUUGCUUAUUGAAUAUACAAUGAAUGCAAUUAAUUGAAGUUUCAAAACAUUUUUACAAACUAAUUUUCAGAAAAGAAUUUUAUGAAACGUUUCCUUCAAAAACGAUUGUCUAUAUUAUCUUGAAACUACAUAAAAACGUAUAUUAAGAUUAAAUAAUAAAGCUGUUUCAAUGAGAAAAUGUAGGAACUACAGACAAUUAUUUAAAAAAUCCAAAAGUGCAUAAAAAAACUCUCUAUCAUAAUCAAAAUAUGUCAAAAGUAAACUAUUAUAGGUCAAAGUACUGAUUCAACAUGGAGUCAAUGUUCAUUAACCAUAAUUAUGAUUAUGAAGCAAAAAGUUGACGAUUUUUUCUCUACUUCACUUUUUACAAAAAAUCACAAUAAAAUGUGUUAAAGCUCAUAGAUAUCUAACAUAGGGGUAAAGUGAACAAUGUGUUAAUAACUUUAAAGUAAAAUGUAACGUCCACUGAACAAAAAGAAAAUUAUCAUUUCCAUACACUAAAAUGAGUAUGUAAGUAAAACAUGAUAAAUAAC